AUAUCAAUAAGCGGAGGAAAAGAAACCAACAGGGAUUGCCCCAGUAACGGCGAGUGAAGCGGCAACAGCUCAAAUUUGAAAUCUGGCUCCCUUGCGCCCGAGUUGUAAUUUGCAGAGGGUGCUUUGGCGUCGCAGCGGCCUAAGUUCCUUGGAACAGGGCGUCACAGAGGGUGAGAACCCCGUACGUGGCCGCCCGCCUUCGCCGUGUAAAGCCCCUUCGACGAGUCGAGUUGUUUGGGAAUGCAGCUCUAAAUGGGAGGUAAAUUCCUUCUAAAGCUAAAUACUGGCCAGAGACCGAUAGCGCACAAGUA
rnacentral:rRNA from 1 species